UGGGGCGUAGCCAAGCGGUAAGGCAACGGGUUUUGAUCCCGUGAUUCCCUGGUUCGAUUCCAGGCGCCCCAGCCA
rnacentral:tRNA from 1 species